ACGCUCGACACCUACGGGAGGCAGCAGUGGGGAAUAUUGGGCAAUGGGCGCAAGCCUGACCCAGCAACGCCGCGUGAAGGAAGAAGGCUUUCGGGUUGUAAACUUCUUUUGUCAGGGAAGAGCAGAAGACGGUACCUGACGAAUAAGCCACGGCUAACUACGUGCCUGCAGCCGCGGUAAUCUGAGCGGGCUGGCAAGGC
rnacentral:rRNA from 1 species